rnacentral:lncRNA from 1 species
UGAGGAGCUUCUCAACUUUGGCAGCACCAAGUUUUCCUCUUAUCAGUUAUCCUCCACCAUCACAAGUUUUGACAGCGUGCCUGACCCAAUCAAAUGCUCCACAACGUUCUGAUGAAUGGUUUGCCCUUCGCAAGGACAAAUUGACUACAAGCACCUUCAGCACUGCUUUAGGAACCCAGUCAAAUGCUCCACAACGUUCUGAUGAAUGGUUUGCCCUUCGCAAGGACAAAUUAACUACAAGCACCUUCAGCACUGCUUUAGGAUUCUGGAAAGGGAAUCGACGAAAUGAGCUCUGGCAUGAGAAGGUAUUCUCUCCAGAUGUCCAAUUAAUACAAUCUGCUAGCAGGUGUGCCAUGGAUUGGGGUGUUCUCAUGGAAGCAGUAG